GGAAUAUAAAAAUCCGUCUCUUAAUUUUUAAUUUAAAAAGUUAAAACCGGUUCUUAAAUAAGAGUUUCAAUAGCAGGUUAUUAACUUUUUUAGUUAAAAGUUAAGAGAUAGGUUUUUAUAUUCC
rfam:Brassica oleracea var. oleracea cultivar TO1000 chromosome C4, whole genome shotgun sequence